CUUAUUGGAUGUAAUAAUUUUCUUUUUAGUAACGACCAGAAGGCUUUUUUUACAAUUUAUUAAAUUUGUUAUAAAAAAAAGCCUUCUGGUCGUUACUAAAAAGAAAAU